CGGGUAGAGUAACACGUAAACAACCUGCCUUCAGGAUGGGGACAACAGACGGAAACGACUGCUAAUACCGAAUAAGUUCCAAGAGCCGCAUGGCCCAUGGAAGAAAAGGUGGCCUCUACCUGUAAGCUACCGCCUGAAGAGGGGUUUGCGUCUGAUUAGCUGGUUGGAGGGGUAACGGCCCACCAAGGCGACGAUCAGUAGCCGGUCUGAGAGGAUGAACGGCCACACUGGAACUGAGACACGGUCCAGACUCCUACGGGAGGCAGCAUG
rnacentral:rRNA from 1 species